rnacentral:rRNA from 1 species
GGGGAAUUUUCCGCAAUGGGCGAAAGCCUGACCGGAGCAAUACCGCGUGAGGGACUGACGGCCUAUGGGUUGUAAACCUCUUUUUUCAGGGAGGAAUAAAAUGACGUGUACCCUGAAGAAUAAGCAUCGGGUNANUNGGUGCCAGCAGNCGNGGUAAGACCGGAGGAUGACAAGUGUUAUCCGGAAUCACUGGGCGUAAAGCGUCUGUAGGUGGUCCAAUAAGUCAACUGUUAAAUCUUGAGGCUCAACCUCAAAAUCGCAGUCGAAACUAUUAGANCUAGAGUAUAGUAGGGGUAAAGGGAAUUUCCAGUGGAGACGGUGAAAUGCGUAGAGACUUGGAAAGAACACCCGAUGGCGAAGGCACUUUACUGGGCUAUUACUAACACUCAGAGACGAAAGUCUAGGGUAGCAAAUGGGAUUAGAUACCCC